rnacentral:lncRNA from 1 species
UGUAGUAACUUUUGCUCUAUUGCUGACUCAAAGGAUCAUAUCAGCUUCUCUCAAUCUUCUACUUUCUAUUAGACCCUGCAUUAAGAUAUAUAUAUGCACACUCGAACUAGAGUCCAAUACCCAACUAGAAGUAGAAGAAAUCGUAAGGUUAGAUUCAAUUAUGAGCAUACCUUCUGAAGGUUUAUCACCCUUCUUAGUCUUUAGGCUCUCCAG